rnacentral:lncRNA from 1 species
UGUGCAGAGAGGCUUGCAGGUCCAAACCACUGGUAGCAGCCCCUGGUAUAUCCAGGACAUCAGCACAUAGAACCAGUGAAAGGGUCCUCCCUCAUAGUGACGCAUGUCAUAGACUCAGAUUUAUACAAACAAAUGCUGAGCAAACCAUGAAGAGUCUCUGGUAUUUUCAACAAUAUCAUCACAGAGGAACUGUAUUGAUUUCCUUCCUUCAGUGGUCCAAGAACCUGCUGCUCCCGGGUCCUCUCAUUUGAAGACACCCACCGCCUAAGGAUGAAGAGAAGCUCCUUCUUGCAGAUCUGAGGCUGAUUUCCCAACUCCCAGGAACACCCUACCCACAGCCUGUUCCCCAGACCCAGGAAUUCUUGACCAAGACUACAAAUGUAGCCCAUUUGACAUCGAAAACAUUGGGACAGGUGUGAGAGUGAGGAAAAUGGGGAGAAAAAAGAACUUUGAAGACAAGGAUUUGAAGUUAGCAUGAAGCAUGGAAAGGAGGAAGGGCAAGCUUUCUGCAGUGAGGACAGUGCCUGCCAGAGAAAACCAGAUCCUGGGGAGGGGUUUCUCCAGAAAGAGAAAGUCAAAGCUGCAGGAACUUUUCAAAUGUAGAGGAGCCUUUAGAAGGAAGCCUUGAGCAUGAGGACAGACCCCCCUCAUCCAACCACCACCUGACUCUGUGUGAACCUGGAACUGUUAGAAUGUCUGUGCUGUGAUAAAAGGUCAUCUCCCUACAAUGUUAUGAUACAGACCUCAAACCUACAAACAUGAGGAACUUCUGCCUCCAGGUUAACUGCUUACCCACUGUACAAGACACGUUACACACAGUCCAGGAGGCGGAGCUUCUGAGAUAUCUAGAAACAGCUUAGAGGCAAAAUGACAAAAUAAAGCAGCAACAACAAAUAAAACCAAUCUUCUCGAA